rnacentral:lncRNA from 1 species
UUUCUUACAAGUGGGACCCACUGUCAGGUGCCACGUCGGACCCCGACCUGCUAGCCUGUUCCGACACGACCCGUUAGCCCGAGCGCAUCACUUUAUCUAUUUCGUCCGGCCCGAUUAGAAUUCCCCAACUCCGGAGACACGAACCCUAUUCAUCGCGUUCUUGCGAUUUCCAGGCGAUCCCUCCGAGUCCCCAUGGAUCUGAGCUACUUAAGACUCGAUUAGUUCCAUCUCACAGCCGCCGCCGUGAAGUUGUUGUUGUUUCCGUCCCUGAUUUACUCUUUGCAGCUUCAUCUAUCACUACACCACAACACAGAAUUCCCUACUGGGGUUGGUCGGGAAAAGUCUAUGUAUGUUGAUACACUGUUGGUGGGGAAAGAUGUUGGUCGGUAGUAUUUCGCUUUGUACAGGACUGUUUGUCGGUCGGGAAUGUAAAAUCAUUUGCUACAAGUCUGUCGCUUCCCAUUCCCCUUCACAGACGUCCAGAAGACACGCGGCCGCCGCCGCUCUCGAUGUACGGCCGUCGUGGUCUCUCCGCCGCCGCCCCGGCCACGCACAAUCCUGACUUCCCCCGCCAAGAAUCGCCGGCGCCGAUGCCCCGAUGCGCUCGACGGCCGCCCAGUCGCCCUAGCCGCUAGACCGCCUUCACCAUCCUGCCUCUCGCUGCCGCUGCCCUCUGGACCGCAGCCCCAGGAGCUGUACCGCCACCCCGUCGUCACAGGAGCAGGACCGCUGCCCCGCCGUUUCCCCUCACAGAGGUGGUCCUGUGCCGUCUCCCCCCCCCCCCCC